GCCUGGGUGGCUCAGUCAGUUAAGCAUCCAACUUUGGCUCAGGUCAUGAUCUCGCAGUUUGUGGGUUCGAGCCCCACCUCAGGCU
rnacentral:tRNA from 1 species